rnacentral:rRNA from 1 species
GACGAACGCUGGCGGCGUGCUUAACACAUGCAAGUCGAACGGAAAGGCCCUGCUUUUGUGGGGUGCUCGAGUGGCGAACGGGUGAGUAACACGUGAGUCACCUGCCCUUGACUUUGGGAUAACUUCAGGAAACUGGGGCUAAUACCGGAUAGGAGCUCCUGCUGCAUGGUGGGGGUUGGAAAGUUUCGGCGGUUGGGGAUGGACUCGCGGCUUAUCAGCUUGUUGGUGGGGUAGUGGCUUACCAAGGCUUUGACGGGUAGCCGGCCUGAGAGGGUGACCGGCCACAUUGGGACUGAGAUACGGCCCAGACUCCUACGGGAGGCAGCAGUGGGAAAUAUUGAACAAUGGGCGGAAGCCUGAUGCAGCAACGCCGCGUGCGGGAUGACGGCCUUCGGGUUGUAAACCGCUUUCGCCUGUGACGAAGCGUGAGUGACGGUAAUGGGUAAAGAAGCACCGGCUAACUACGUG